ensembl:snRNA U6 U6 spliceosomal RNA
GUGCUCACUUCGGCAGCACAUAUACUAAAAAAAAAUAAAACAAUACAAAGAAGCUUAGCAUGGCCCCUGCACAAGGAUGAUACAUAAAUUUAUUUUUAAUAAAUGGUGUUG